rnacentral:rRNA from 1 species
UACGGAGGGUGCAAGCGUUAUCCGGAUUCACUGGGUUUAAAGGGUGCGUAGGCGGGUUGUUAAGUCAGUGGUGAAAGCUCCGAGCCUAACUCGGAAACUGCCAUUGAUACUGACGAUCUUGAGUACAUUUGAGGUGGGCGGAAUGUGUCAUGUAGCGGUGAAAUGCUUAGAUAUGACACAGAACACCGAUUGCGAAGGCAGCUCACUAAACUGUAACUGACGCUGAGGCACGAAAGCGUGGGGAGCAAACAGG